CAUUGAAACACCAGUUCCCAUAUGAUCACUAAAGUUAAGCAAUGUCAAACCUGGCCAGCACCUAGAUGGGUGACUGCUUGGGAAUACCAGGUGCU
rnacentral:rRNA from 1 species